rnacentral:rRNA from 1 species
GAACGCUGGCGGCAGGCUUAACACAUGCAAGUCGAGCGGGGAAGAGUAGCUUGCUACUUACCUAGCGGCGGACGGGUGAGUAAUGCUUAGGAAUCUGCCUAUUAGUGGGGGGACAACAUCUCGAAAGGGAUGCUAAUACCGCAUACGUCCUACGGGAGAAAGCAGGGGACCUUCGGGCCUUGCGCUAAUAGAUGAGCCUAAGUCGGAUUAGCUAGUUGGUGGGGUAAAGGCCUACCAAGGCGACGAUCUGUAGCGGGUCUGAGAGGAUGAUCCGCCACACUGGGACUGAGACACGGCCCAGACUCCUACGGGAGGCAGCAGUGGGGAAUAUUGGACAAUGGGGGGAACCCUGAUCCAGCCAUGCCGCGUGUGUGAAGAAGGCCCUUUUGGUUGUAAAGCACUUUAAGCGAGGAGGAGGCUACCGAGAUUAAUACUCUUGGAUAGUGGACGUUACUCGCAGAAUAAGCACCGGCUAACUCUGUGCCAGCAGCAGC